rnacentral:tRNA from 1 species
GUACCUUUAGCUCAAUUGGUUAGAGCAGACGGCUCAUAACCGUCCGGUCGUAGGUUCGAGUCCUACAGAGUACA